CUAGAUACAACGAAGGAUAGAUACAACGAAGGAUAGAUACAGCCAAGGAUAGAUACAACGAAGGAUAGAUACAACGAAGGAUAGAUACAACGAAGGAUAGAUACAACGAAGGAUAGAUACAACGAAGGAUAGAUACAGCCAAGGAUAGAUACAACGAAGGAUAGAUACAACGAAGCGUAGAUACAACGAAGGAUAGAUACAACGAAGGAUAGAUACAACGAAGGAUAGAUACAACGAAGGAUAGAUACAACGAAGCUUAGAUACAGCGAAGGAUAGAUACAGCGAAGGAUAGAUACAACCAAAGAUAGAUACAAGGUAGGAUAGGUACAAAGAAAGAUAGAUACAAGGUAGGAUAGAUACAAGGAAAGAUAGAUACAAGGAAAGAUAGAUACAAGGUAGGAUAGAUACAAGGAAAGAUAGAUACAAGGAAAGAUAGAUACAAGGUAGGAUAGAUACAAGGAAAGAUAGAU